rnacentral:rRNA from 1 species
CUACGGGUGGCAGCAGUGGGGAAUAUUGCACAAUGGGCGCAAGCCUGAUGCCGCCAUGCCGCGUGUGUGAAGAAGGCCUUCGGGUUGUAAAGCACUUUCAGCGGGGAGGAAGGCGUUAAGGUUAAUAGCCUUGGCGAUUGACGUUACCCGCAGAAGAAGCACCGGCUAACUCCGUGCCAGCAGCCGCGGUAAUACGGAGGGUGCAAGCGUUAAUCGGAAUUACUGGGCGUAAAGCGCACGCAGGCGGUCUGUCAAGUCGGAUGUGAAAUCCCCGGGCUCAACCUGGGAACUGCAUUCGAAACUGGCAGGCUAGAGUCUUGUAGAGGGGGGUAGAAUUCCAGGUGUAGCGGUGAAAUGCGUAGAGAUCUGGAGGAAUACCGGUGGCGAAGGCGGCCCCCUGGACAAAGACUGACGCUCAGGUGCGAAAGCGUGGGGAGCAAACAGGAUUAGAUACCCGUGUAGUC